rnacentral:rRNA from 1 species
AUUGAACGCUGGCGGCAGGCCUAACACAUGCAAGUCGAACGAGGGGAGGACGGGUGGGUGAGGUCGGAGAAAGUGGAUGAUGGCGGGGGGUAACUACUGGAAACGGUAGCUAAUAACGAAUACCAGCAGAUGUGCCCAGAUGGGAGUAGCUAGUUGGUGUGGUAACGGCUCACCAAGGCGACGAGCCCUAGCUGGUCUGAGAGGGUGACCGGCCACACGGGGACUGAGACACGGUCCAGAAUCCGACGGUAGGCAGCAGUGGGGAAUCUUGCACAAUGGGCGAAAGCCUGAGGCAGCCAUGCCGCGUGUAUGAAGAAGGCCUUCGGUUUGUAAAGAACUUUCAGCGGGGAGGCGUUACCCGCCGAAGAAGCCCCGGCUAACUCCGUGCCAGCAGCCGCGGUAAUUC